rnacentral:rRNA from 1 species
UAACAAGGUCUCCGUAGGUGAACCUGCGGAGGGAUCAUUACACAAAUAUGAAGGCGGGCUGGAACCUCUCGGGGUUACAGCCUUGCUGAAUUAUUCACCCUUGUCUUUUGCGUACUUCUUGUUUCCUUGGUGGGUUCGCCCACCACUAGGACAAACAUAAACCUUUUGUAAUUGCAAUCAGCGUCAGUAACAAAUUAAUAAUUACAACUUUCAACAACGGAUCUCUUGGUUCUGGCAUCGAUGAAGAACGCAGCGAAAUGCGAUAAGUAGUGUGAAUUGCAGAAUUCAGUGAAUCAUCGAAUCUUUGAACGCACAUUGCGCCCUUUGGUAUUCCAAAGGGCAUGCCUGUUCGAGCGUCAUUUGUACCCUCAAGCUUUGCUUGGUGUUGGGCGUCUUGUCUCUAGCUUUGCUGGAGACUCGCCUUAAAGUAAUUGGCAGCCGGCCUACUGGUUUCGGAGCGCAGCACAAGUCGCACUCUCUAUCAGCAAAGGUCUAGCAUCCAUUAAGCCUUUUUUUCAACUUUUGACCUCGGAUCAGGUAGGGAUACCCGCUGAACUUAAGCAUAUCAAUA